GCGAACUGUUUUUCAAUCUCUCUUCACGGGAAUGAGCAGACGUAGUAUUCGGAGUGUGUUGAAAGGGCCUCUUUCGGGAGGUGCACUCGUACUAUACAUAUUCGGAGCCGAAAGGCAAUGGUAUGACCGCUGUAUCUGCAGUGAAGACUAAUUCUUGCGCAGGGCCUACCUUACUAAGGAACUGCAAUAGAUAACCUAUUAACUUAUUUCACCUUCUUGCAAGUUGACUUUUAUAUGUUGUUCUGUUCACAGUUUAUUCGGUGCAGUUCACACGUUUAAUUAUUUGAACGUUAAAAAUACAACUCUUAGCAAUGGAUAUCUUGGUUCUCGCAACGAUGAAGAACGCAGCGAAAUGCGAUACGUAAUGCGAAUUGCAGAAUUCAGUGAAUCAUCAAAUCUUUGAACGCAAAUUGCGCUCCUGGGUAGCCCUAGGAGCACGCCUCUCUCAGUAUCGGUUCAACAAUAUAUCAGCAGCGUGUUUAUGUUUUAAUUUAUUUUAUUACUAAAAUGCGUGUUGGCUGGAGAAUGAGAGUCUGUUCGCUUGCGGGCAGUCUCUUUAAGUACAUGGAGUUAACUAGAAACUUUUCGAUCAGUUCAGUACUUCGGUGCUGAUAGUCAGUCUCUCGACUGUUGUUCGUUAGUGACGUGAAUAUUGAUCCUCGUGAUCUAACUUUUACGUGUAUCUGACUUAUGACUUAUAGUUAGUUGAUCGGCGAACGUUUGAGAAAUCUAAUUGACGUGAG
rnacentral:rRNA from 1 species